rnacentral:rRNA from 1 species
GCACAAGCGGUGGAGCAUGUGGUUAAUUCGACGCAACGCGAAGAACCUUACCUGGGCUUGACAUCCCGGGAAUCCCCCUGGAAACAGGGGAGUGCCCUUCGGGGAACCCGGUGACAGGUGCUGCAUGGCUGUCGUCAGCUCGUGUCGUGAGAUGUUGGGUUAAGUCCCGCAACGAGCGCAACCCUUGUCUUUAAUUGCCAUCAUUUAGUUGGGCACUUUAAAGAGACUGCCGGUGUUAAGCCGGAGGAAGGUGGGGAUGACGUCAAGUCCUCAUGGCCUUUAUGACCAGGGCUACACACGUACUACAAUGGCAGGUACAAAGGGCAGCCACUUAGCGAUAAGGCGCGAAUCCCAUAAAACCUGUCUCAGUCCGGAUUGGAGUCUGCAACUCGACUCCAUGAAGUUGGAAUCGCUAGUAAUCGCAGAUCAGCACGCUGCGGUCGAAUACGUUCCCGGGCCUU